AGCGGAGCAUGUGGUUUAAUUCGAAGCGACGCGAAGAACCUUACCAGAUCUUGACAUCCAAUUGACCAUCUUUUAAUCGAGAUUUUGCCUUCGGUACGAAUUGAGACAGGUGGUGCAUGGUUGUCGUCAGCUCGUGUCGUGAGAUGUUGGGUUAAGUCCCGCAACGAGCGCAACCUUGUGUUUAGUUGCAAACAGGUCAAGCUGUGCACUCUAGACAGACUGCCGUGGACAACACGGAGGAAGGUGGGGAUGACGUCAAAUCAUCAUGCCCCUUAUGAUCUGGGCUACACACGUGCUACAAUGGCCGGUACAACGGGCAGCGAAGGAGCGAUCCGGAGCGAAUCCUAAAAAGCCGGUCCCAGUUCGGAUUGCAGGCUGAAACUCGCCUACAUGAAGUUGGAGUUGCUAGUAAUCGCGAAUCAGAAUGUCGCGGUGAAUGCGUUCCCGGGUCUU
rnacentral:rRNA from 1 species